GAUGAACGCUGGCGGCGUGCCUAAUACAUGCAAGUCGAGCGAAUGGAUUAAGAGCUUGCUCUUAUGAAGUUAGCGGCGGACGGGUGAGUAACACGUGGGUAACCUGCCCAUAAGACUGGGAUAACUCCGGGAAACCGGGGCUAAUACCGGACAACAUUUUGAACCUCAUGGUUCGAAAUUGAAAGGUGGCUUCGGCUGUGCCUUAUGGAUGGACCAGCGUCGCAUUAUCUAGUUGGGUAGGUAACGGCUCACCAAGGCAACGAUGCGUUGCUGACCUGGGAGGGUGAUCGGCCACACUGGGAAUGAGACACGGCCCAGACUCCUACGGGAGGCAGCAGUAGGGAAUCUUCCGCAAUGGACGAAAGUCUGACGGAGCAACGCCGCGUGAGUGAUGAAGGCUUUCGGGUCGUAAAACUCUGUUGUUAGGGAAGAACAAGUGCUAGUUGAAUAAGCUGGCACCUUGACGGUACCUAACCAGAAAGCCACGGCUAACUACGUGCCAGCCGCCGCAGUAA
rnacentral:rRNA from 1 species